rnacentral:rRNA from 1 species
AGAUUGAACGCUGGCGGCAUGCCUUACACAUGCAAGUCGAACGGCAGCACGGGGGCAACCCUGGUGGCGAGUGGCGAACGGGUGAGUAAUGCAUCGGAACGUGCCCAGUAGUGGGGGAUAACUAGUCGAAAGAUUAGCUAAUACCGCAUACGACCUAUGGGUGAAAGCGGGGGAUUCGCAAGAACCUCGCGCUAUCGGAGCGGCCGAUGUCUGAUUAGCUAGUUGGCGGGUAAGCCACC